UACGGAGGGUGCAAGCGUUAAUCGGAAUUAUUGGGCGUAAAGGGCGCGUAGGCGGAUUGUUAAGUCAGAUGUGAAAUUUCGGAGCUCAAAACCGAAGCGGCAUAUGAAACUGAUGAUCUAGAGUUCUAACGGAGAAAACGGAAUUCCACGUGUAGCGGUGAAAUGCGUAGAUAUGUGGAAGAACACCUGUGGCGAAAGCGGUUUUCUAGUGAGCAACUGACGCUGAGGCGCGAGAGCAAGGGGAGCAAACAGG
rnacentral:misc_RNA from 1 species